UUGUCACCCUUUUUUGACAACAAAGAUAGAUUUUAUUCAAAUAGUGAAUGGGUAAUACAAUUUGUCACUUUUAUUAUAUAUCACAAUUGCUAAAAUAAAAGUAUGGCCAUAAAAUUUUGACUGAAUUUUUUUUUGUUCCCCCGAUUUAAUUGUGUAACCCGCCGCCACAAAUAUAUCCUAAAACCCUAAUUACACUUACAAUAACCUCUUAUUUUUCUUGUUUAAUUCGCCUCCAUUAUCUCUCUGUCUUUUCCUUCGGUUUCGUUCUUAGAUCUUAUCUCGUUUCUUAAUUUUUCAGUCUUGUUCAGUUGCGUAUAGGAAUCUCCGGCAGUGGAAUCUCCGGCAGUGGUUAGAAGAGGAGAUGUGUUUCUUCAAUCUCUCCAGCAGUGGUCAAUUCAGCGAGAUGAAGAAUCUAAACCAGUGGAAACACAAGUUCAUGUUCUAUUGUCGUUACUUUAUCUCAGUUUCACCACGCUUGAAUUUCCUGUCAAAUACCAAGAAGAGAAUUGAUCUGAGGCUACAAUACGAACGCUGGAAGCACAUCUCUCACUGUUUGAUCAGGAUCCAUAAAAACUACGAUCUUUUGCGGAGACACAAUUUGCACAUUAUUACUAUUCUAAGAUGACCGCCCUGCUCGGCAAGAAAGUUCAGAUUGUUUGGGAUGAUAUAUUGGUCUGCCACAGCUAAUCAAGUGUUUUACCUUCGAAUGAGAUGGUGGUGGAAAACGCAGCAUCAAUGAUCUGCAACAGCGGUGGUGUCGGCCGAUAAGGCCGAGACGACUAG